GGUUGUGGCUCAGUGGUAGAGUACUCGCCUAGCACGUGCAAGGCCCUGGGUUUGAUCCUCAGCACCA
rnacentral:tRNA from 1 species